GUGAGGAAUUUUCCGCAAUGGGCGAAAGCCUGACGGAGCAAUGCCGCGUGAAGGAUGAAGGCCUAUGGGUUGUAAACUUCUUUUCUCAGAAAAGAAUUAUGACGGUAUCUGAGGAAUAAGCAUCGGCUAACUCUGUGCCAGCAGCCGCGGUAAGACAGAGGAUGCAAGCGUUAUCCGGAAUGAUUGGGCGUAAAGCGUCUGUAGGUUGUUUAAAAAGUAUUCUGUCAAAGAUUAGGGCUUAACCCUAGAUAGGCAGAAUAAACUUUUAAGCUAGAGUUUGGUAGAAGCAGAGGGAAUUCCCGGUGGAGCGGUGAAAUGCGUAGAUAUCGGGAGGAACACCAAAGGCGAAGGCACUCUGCUGGGCCAAUACUAACACUGAGAGACGAAAGCGAGGGGAGCAAAUGGGAUUAGAUACCCGAGUAGUCC
rnacentral:rRNA from 1 species